rnacentral:misc_RNA from 1 species
AAUCCUGGAUGGAACGACGAA